rnacentral:rRNA from 1 species
UACAUGAGAGGUAAACGUUCAUCAUCUUAAAUGGGUCUAAAGGGUUUGUAGAUGGCUUAUUAAGAUAGUUAACUAUAACUGAUAAGCUCGAGUUUAAUUAAGGAAAAAAGAACUUUAAGAGUAAGGAUAAUAUCUCGUGAUACUUAAGGGACUACUAAUUGCGAAGGCUUUUUUCUAAGUAAAACUGACAUUGAGAAACGAAAGUGU